GUGUGCGUAAUUUAAAAAAAAUAUCAAAUUGUGACCAUGACAAUAGGAAUUAUUCCUCACACAC
rnacentral:tRNA from 1 species